GACGAACGCUGGCGGCGUGCUUAACACAUGCAAGUCGAACGGAAAGGCCCUGCUUUCAGGGUACUCUAGUGGCGAACGGGUGAGUAACACGUGUGUGAUCUGCCCUGCACUUCGGGAUAAGCCUGGGGAACUGGGUCUAAUACCGGAUAUGAGACAUUUUGAGUGUGAUGGUUGGAAAGUUUUUUCGGUGUGUGAUGAGCUCGCGGCCGAUCAGCUUGUUGGUGGGGUAAUGGCCUACCAAGGCGGCGACGGGUAGCCUGCCGGAGAGGGUGGACGGCCAACUUGGGACUGAGAUACGGCCCAGAACCCUAAGGGGGGGAGCAGUGGGGAAUAUUGGCACAUGGGGGCAAGGCUGAUGCAGCGAAGCCGCGUGGGGGAUGAAGGCCUUCGGGUUGUAAAACCCUUUCGCUAGGGAAGAAGCUUUUUGUGACGGUAACUAGAUAAGAAGCACCGGCUAACUACGUG
rnacentral:rRNA from 1 species